CCCUGGUAUAGAAAAGUAUAAAGAUUAGUGUGAAAAGAAAUUUAAAGAUUUUGGCAGUUAAUUAUUAAUUAGAGGAACUUGUUUAUAGAAUUUGCUCUUUAAAUUUAAUUAAUUUAUGUUUAUUUAUCUCCGUUUUUAAUCAAAGGUUUUAUAAAUUAAAUUUAAAAUUUCAGGUCAAGAUGUAGCUUGAAUUAAUAUAUAUUAGUUACAUUUAUGUAAUGAGUGGAUGCUUAAAAUGAAAAAUUAAUGAAAUUGAAUUUAGUUGUAAUUAUGCUUAUAAAAGUGUAAUGAAUUUAUAUAAUUUGUGUA
rnacentral:rRNA from 2 species